rnacentral:rRNA from 1 species
UACAGGGGGUGCAAACGUUGCUCGGAAUUAUUGGGCGUAAAGCGCGCGUAGGCGGCCACUUAAGUCGGAUGUGAAAGCCCCUGGCUCAACUGGGGAAGUGCACCCGAAACUGAAUGGCUUGAAUGCAAAAGAGGGUCGCGGAAUUCCCGGUGUAGAGGUGAAAUUCGUAGAUAUCGGGAGGAACACCGGUGGCGAAGGCGGCGACCUGGGUCGACACUGACGCUGAGGGACGAAAGCUAGGGGAGCAAACGGG